ACGAACGCUGGCGGCGUGCUUCACCCAUGCCAGUCGAACGGAAAGGCCCUGCUUUUGUGGGGUGCUCGAGUGGCGAACGGGUGAGUAACACGUGAGUAACCUGCCCUUGACUUUGGGAUAACUUCAGGAAACUGGGGCUAAUACCGGAUAGGAGCUCCUGCUGCAUGGUGGGGGUUGGAAAGUUUCGGCGGUUGGGGAUGGACUCGCGGCUUAUCAGCUUGUUGGUGGUGUAGUGGCUUACCAAGGCUUUGACGGGUAGCCGGCCUGAGAGGGUGACCGGCUACAUUGGGACUGAGAUACGGCCCAGACUCCUACGGGAGGCAGCAGUGGGGAAUAUUGCACAAUGGGCGGAAGCCUGAUGCAGCAACGCCGCGUGCGGGAUGACGGCCUUCGGGUUGUAAACCGCUUUCGCCUGUGACGAAGCGUGAGUGACGGUAAUGGGUAAAGAAGCACCGGCUAACUACGUG
rnacentral:rRNA from 1 species